rnacentral:rRNA from 1 species
GGAAUAUUGGUCAAUGGAGGGAACUCUGAACCAGCCAUGCCGCGUGCAGGAUGACUGCCCUAUGGGUUGUAAACUGCUUUUGUCAGGGAAUAAACCUUUCCACGUGUGGGAAGCUGAAUGUACCUGAAGAAUAAGGAUCGGCUAACUCCGUGCCAGCAGCCGCGGUAAUACGGAGGAUCCAAGCGUUAUCCGGAUUUAUUGGGUUUAAAGGGUGCGUAGGCGGUCCUAUAAGUCAGUGGUGAAAGACGGCAGCUUAACUGUCGCAGUGCCUUUGAUACUGUAGGACUUGAAUCUAUUUGAAGUGGGCGGAAUAAGACAAGUAGCGGUGAAAUGCAUAGAUAUGUCUUAGAACUCCGAUUGCGAAGGCAGCUCACUAAGUUAGUAUUGACGCUGAUGCACGAAAGCGUGGGGAUCAAACAGGAUUAGAUACCCGGG